rnacentral:ncRNA from 1 species
CGGUAAUAGAGUUGCAGGGUGGUGUCUCCUGAGCCUGUCUUGCGACAGGUUCUUCUUCGCCACCG